CGUAGGUGGCGAGCGUUGUCCGGAUUUACUGGGCGUAAAGGGCGUGCAGGCGGUUUGUUAAGUGCAGGGUGAAAGCUCCCGGCUCAACUGGGAGAGGUCCUUGCAUACUGGCGAACUCGAGGGAGGCAGAGGAAAGUGGAAUUCCCGGUGUAGUGGUGAUAUGCGUAGAUAUCGGGAGGAACACCUGUGGCGAAGGCGGCUUUCUGGGCCUUACCUGACGCUGAGACGCGAAAGCGUGGGGAGCGAACCGGAUUAGAUACCCGGGUAGUCCACGCCGUAAACUAUGGACACUAGGUGUGGGGGGUAUCGACCCCCUCCGUGCCGAAGCUAACGCAAUAAGUGUCCCGCCUGGGGAGUACGGCCGCAAGGCUA
rnacentral:rRNA from 1 species